GGGUGGUCUGUUUCCAUAUAUCUUUUUAUAUUGCGGAAAAAAAAUUUGUCAUGCCAAACGCAACAUUUUCUGCUGAGUUAAGAAAAAGCGGCAAGUAUGGUUUCAUGGGCUCUUGUCCUCUCUGACAACUGCGGCUCCGACCUGUCACGGACACCCCUAAUGUCCAGCAGCAGGCUCUGGAGCCGCUGGCAAAGUGGGAAACCGGCAGCUGGAGCAAAUAUUGUGACAUGAAUAACCUUAGGAGUCACGAUAUAAUCUCACAUCUUUUGAGUAUUUACAAUGUGCCAGGCACGGGUGAAGCAUUUUUCAUGCAUUGACCUCCUUAAUCUUCUCAUGUGUCCUAGAAAGUAUCUAUUGUCAUCGUCUUCAUUUUACAGAUGAGGCAGUGCCGAGAGACAGAGAAGUUGAGGAACCCGCCCAAGGUCACAUAAUUAUUAAGUGACUUCCCACCGUUGCAGUGGCUACAAGCACUGCGGUCAGCAGAGCAGAGAGCUGCCUGCAUUCCCACCAGCGCCGUCCUGCUCUUUAUAACCAACUGGAUUCCCAGUCCCAUAAAAAAGCCUCCUACAUUUAUUUACUUAUAAUGAUUUUGGAAGAAACACUUCAAAGAAGUUUAACUUCGGCAAGUGACGUUCUGUCAGAACCAUUCCAAGGACAGAAGAGAGUGACUGGGACGCAGAUGAUUGCUGAAGUCCUCUCUCUUCCACUGAUUUAUGUUAAAGCUCCAGCUAACGUUUCCAAAGAAGAAAACACAGAAUACUGAGCAUGAAGAUGACGUGUGUGUGGGUACACGGUAAUCUGAAGGUCUGUUUCAUGAGAGGGGAACUCCUUUCCUGUCUGCAGCUUUACGCAGCGGUCCCUGACUCACCUGGACCAGCUCCCCACUCCCUGCUCAGAGGAGCUGACCUCUUGGCCACUACUGCCUGCACUUGGACACAGAGCUCAGUUGUUGCUGCUACUGUUCUUGAACAUCGAGGCAAUUUCAUAACUU
rnacentral:lncRNA from 1 species